rnacentral:misc_RNA from 1 species
GAAAUGCGAUAAGUAAUGUGAAUUGCAGAAUUCCGUGAAUCAUCGAAUCUUUGAACGCACAUUGCGCCCUCUGGUAUUCCGGGGGGCAUGCCUGUCCGAGCGUCAUUGCGAACCCCUCAAGCACGACUUGUGUGAUGGGCCCUCCCGCGUCUUGGUCGUCAAGACGGGCCCGAAAUGCAGUGGCGGCUUCGCGGUUAUCCGAUCAGCCAGAGCGUAUGGGGACUUUCUCUCUGUCACACGCCCGCGGCGCGGACCGACGCCUGUCGACCUUCAUUCAUCGUUUUCUCGGUUGACCUCGGAUCAGGUAGGGAUGCCCGCUGAACUUAAGC